rnacentral:rRNA from 1 species
GAGUUUGAUUCUGGCUCAGGAUGAACGCUGGCGGCGUGCUUAACACAUGCAAGUCGAACGGGCGAAUUAUAUCGGAGGUCUUCGGGCCGAAGAGAUAAUAAGCUAGUGGCGGACGGGUGCGUAACGUGUGGGUAAUCUGCCUUUGUCAUAGGAAUAACUGCUUGAAAAAGUAGCUAAUACCAAAUAACAUAUCGUAUAGGCAUCUAUAAGAUAUCAAAGAGAAAUCAGACAAAGAUGAGCCCGCAUCUGAUUAGCUAGUUGGUAGGGUAAAAGCCUACCAAGGCGACGAUCAGUAGCCGGCCUGAGAGGGUGAACGGCCACAUUGGAACUGAGACACGGUCCAAACUCCUACGGGAGGCAGCAGUGGGGAAUAUUGCACAAUGGGGGGAACCCUGAUGCAGCAACGCCGCGUGAGUGAAGAAGGCUUUCGAGUCGUAAAACUCUGUU